UGUUUGGUUCUUGUUGGAUUUGUUUUUUACCAUUUUAUUGAUAAAUUGACUGGUGUUUGUUUAACGUCCAAUAUAAAAUACUUUAAAAAACAAAAAUCAGUAAAGUACUGAUUAUAUUUAAUACUGUCAUAAACUUCAUAUUAUGAGUGUAAACAGCUCCCACAUGUUUACGGAAACACUUAAAGGGUACUGAGGCAUGCAACCGCAGACAGAUUGAGACGUUCUGCUGCAAAAAUAUUGCACUAUUUCUUCACAUUGGCUAGACAUAUACAAUUAAAGAAGGUUGGGAUACAAGUUUGUGUAUGAAUUAUUCCGCUGGUGCACUAUAAAAUAACUUUUGCAAAACAAAGUUGCUUUACAAGCAUAAUAUCAUAAUUCGAACAGACAUCGUAUUUAAACAUCGGACACAAAAUAUAUAAACUGGGAACCAAUAUAGAGAAAUGACCACGUUUCUUAUCAAACACAAGGCCAGUGGAAAGUUUCUUCAUCCAAAAGGUGGCAGUAGCAAUCCUGCUAACAAUACUAAUUUGGUUCUACACAGCGAUAUUCAUGAAAGAAUGUACUUCAAGUUUGAUGUUGUUGAUGAACGAUGGGGAUAUAUUAAACAUGCUGCAAGUGGGAAAAUUGUCCAUUCCUUCGGCGGAAAAGCUGACCCACCAAAUGAAACCAAUUUGGUUCUGCAUCAAGACCGUCAUGAUCGGGCACUAUUCGCCAUGGAUUUUUUCAACGACAAUAUUAGACACAAAGCGGGAAAAUACAUCCACCCGAAGGGUGGAUCAACGAAUCCACCAAAUAAUAACUUAACAGUGAUGCAUGGAAAUAAACAUGCAGCUAUGGAAUUCAUUUUUGUUUCGCCAAAAAAUAAAGACAAACGCGUUUUAGUCUAUGCCUAAAAUUUAUCAUUGAAAUGGACAAAACAGAUUUAUACUUAGCUUGCUUAAUCGUUAGCUUGCUAAAACGUUUUUUUUUAUAUAUAUAAUGAACUAGAAGGUUUUGACAUUGCUUGCUAAAGUGUUCGCUAUAAAUGAACAACACGGAUUUAGAAACUGCUCGGUUAAAUGUUUGUUUCACUUUGUUUUUAUUCUUCAUAUAUAAUAAAUAAUACACAGUCGAAUACAAUCGCA